UCUGAAUAUCUUCAUAAUCACAAACCGUGUGCAUAAAGCCCCUGACAGGGCUUCACGGACUGACGUGUGACGGAACGCCACGGAUAUGACCGAUAGGGCAUUGAAGUAACAGAGCGUCUGGGAUGAUGGUAACUGAAUUUCGGGGAGUACGUAAGACACUUGGUACAACUCCAGAGCGUCAGGUGGGAUAGAAGGAUGAGGGAAAAGGCAUGGUGUUAGGGACUGUUCCUGUAUAAUAGACGACCACGGUGUGGGAAUAACCCGUGAAUAUCAUAAGGCUUUGCGGGCUUAUGGGGAUAGCGGGAAAUAUGCAGGCGGGAAAUGUGCGGCUGAGACGGGGGAAACUUCGGGUAUAAAGUCUGACACCUGUACACUGGCACAAGUCCGUACAAAUUUCUUAUUAUAGAGUGAAUAAUAAUAAAUCUGAAUGUUGUGCUGGUGCUGUGGGUAUAAAAGAAUCCCAUGCGUACUAGGCUGAACCGAAAGGUUCAGUUCGUAAGGAAGUGUAGGCGGUAGCUCCCCUAUGCUCAGACCUUGCGAUACGGUGGCUGAAAAUUCCUGUGUCCUUUGAAGAUACGCUGAAUAAAAGGCGUGUGGUUGUGGAGAUGUUCA
rnacentral:sRNA from 12 species